rnacentral:rRNA from 1 species
GACAGAGGGUGCAAACGUUGCUCGGAAUCACUGGGCGUAAAGGGUGCGUAGGCGGGUCUUUUAAGUCAGGGGUGAAAUCCUGGAGCUCAACUCCAGAACUGCCUUUGAUACUGAAGAUCUUGAGUUCGGGAGAGGUGAGUGGAACUGCGAGUGUAGAGGUGAAAUUCGUAGAUAUUCGCAAGAACACCAGUGGCGAAGGCGGCUCACUGGCCCGAUACUGACGCUGAGGCACGAAAGCGUGGGGAGCAAACAGG